rnacentral:lncRNA from 1 species
GCCCGCGGGCUUAGACGCCCUGGUCCGGUUUUCUAACCGUGCCUGACGGGUCGGGCUUCACCGUGCCCGAACCGGGCCAGGCGGCCCGUUUGGCCAUCUCUUCCCACAAGCCACCUCCCCCAACUAACCAUCUCUCACGCAUUUCUCUUUCUCCCCCCACGUCAUCUCCUCUCCUCUCUGUCCAAAAACGCAAAACAGCAAGGAGGGGACUUCUCCUUCCGAGCGCAGGUGGAGCAGCCCCCUUCUCCUCCACGUCGGCCAUCCAUGACGCCCAAGCUCUCUGCGCCCUCUUCCCCAUGGCGUGUUGCAGCAGGCGAUCAGGACUCCCUCCUCCCCUCCACUCGGUUAGAGCGGGUGAGCCCAAGUAAAUAACAUGUGUGCUGAAAUUUCAGAUUCUUACAUUUUCUUCUAAAAUUCAUAACUCGAGUUUGGUAGCUUCGAAAUUAGUAAGACUUGUUUUGUUAGCUUUCGUAUGAAGUGUUCUACCUAUUAGAUUUAUAAUAUAGCAUGUUUUAGUGCAAGUUUUCUACUGUAGAAAUUCAUGUUGAAAAGUGGUUUCAAAAUCAAAUUAACUUGCUUCUCUCUAUAUUUUGAGUUUUAGGUGCUCAAAUAGAAUGAGGCUUGUUUUGUUAGUUAGAUGAUGUCAUACUCUAGCACAUAAAAAUAUGAAACCCAUAUGUUGUUUGUUGUUUUCUUGGUGUAUUAGUUAAAUCUUGUUAAAUAGAAAAAAGAUGAUUGUUUUGCUUGUUAUUUUUGGAUCUUUAGCUCUAGUACUCUAAAUGCUUGAAAUUAUUAUGGUAUACUCUAGGUAUGAUGAUUGGUGACUGGUAAAAAAUUCGUGAUUUAUGGUGCAUGUAUCAUGGAGUUAGUGAUUUAACUUGUUUGAUGCAUAUUAAGUAGUUUUAAAUGGUUUAUAAAUAGUAUACGGAUGUAAAAAUGGAAAAUGUUGUUCUAGUGUCUUUAUACGAUGUUGUAGUGGCCUAAUAAAAGUUAACAUGGCUAUGCAUUCACAAAAAAUAUUUAGUUUUAGAUUUAACUUGUCGUCAUAUGCCUUAUUGCAUUAACAAUUUAUCAUUUUUGUAAUAAUUAAUAUAUAAAACCUGAUAAUGUAAAAUUUGUACAUUUGUCAUGACUUGUUAUUACCUAUACUUUAUGAAAAUCACAGCCCCAAAUUAGAUAGCCUCAUAUGGUGCUAAACUAAUACUCAUUCUAAAAUAAUACCUACUCUAUUAAGAACAUAAUGUGGGCAUCUCGUGCUACUAUGACUUCACCCUUUACGCUGCCACUCUGGGCCCGCCCCACGCGCCCCGCCUCGGCGCCGUGCCCUGUGGGCCCCACAUCCAACACCCGCGCAGUGCUCUUCCAUGUGGACCUGUAGCGCUCACGCAGCUACUACGAUUGCCCGACCCCGCCCGUGUAGCUACCACACUGCGCAAAAAAUAGUGCAGAGCGAGCACUCGAACCCACGCCCCCUGCUCCAGAAAUUUGGAGCCACCAGACCACACAUACCUUAUUGUUUAGAAAUAAACAAUAUUAUAUUUGAAUAAAUAUCUCAAUACUUAUCUAUAUGAUAUAUAACAACCGUAGCAGAGCAUGGGCAACUGGCUAGUAUAUAAUUAUAAGAAGAGUUAGUGAAAAAUGAGGAGUGGGCAAAUCAUGCAUGUCCCUUGCAAUAUUUGAGUGGUGCCUUAAUAUAAGUUAGAGAUUUUAUGGUUACGUCAUGAUAGUUUAGAGCAAAGUAAUCCGUGGUGCUUCAUCAUAAUUUUGUGUAGUAGGUAUUGAUUUUGAGUUUCGGAUGUUGCGAAAAAUGUUUUAGUGCAUGUAUAGGCAUUAAUGAAUGGUGUGUGAUGAAGUAUAGGUUGUGGUAUAAAAUAUUUUUACUAGCAGGGUUUCCAUAUUUGUACUGGCAAGUGAGGCCUUCCAUGAUUAAAAAUAUUUUUUGGUACUAUUUUUAAAACCGAUUUAUAUUUCUUUAAAAAAGAAUUUGUAUUUGCGGUUUUCUUAACUAUUUUCAUUCACAGUUGUCUUAAAUGAACCACCGGCGAAAAUCAAUUCCCACUUUCCAGUUAACUGCCUAUGGACAAAACCGCUGGGGUUCUAAAAAAUGACAGUAAAAAUAAGUUACGAACCGAGUCUGUAGAGAGCUUUUUUUUUUGUACUAGUGGAACCAAAAGGAGACGUUUUCUAUUACAAUGCACUACGAUUCGGCCCACGUAGCACACACAACUAUACGGUAACCGAGCGCUUAUCGCGGCCCACUAAAAAAGACACACGGGACCGGGCCCAUCUUGCCCACGGUGUCCGGAGCUCGGCGUGAGCGACGGACGCAGUUUGAGUGUCUGUCGUCGUCGGGGCACCACCACAUCAUUGAGUUAAACAUGAAAAUCUAAGACGAAAAUUAUUUCAAGCCAUAUGAAAACCGCAUUGAGUUUAACAUGAAAACCACCAAACUAAUAAAUCGUAAAGUACUCUGAACUUGGUCGUUUAGAGAGGCAAAACGGGGCCUUUUUUUUCAAUGACGAAACGAUUCGGCCCACCCACGUAGCACGCAACCAUGUCGUAAACCGCGCGCUUAUUGUGGCCCGCUGGAAAAGACACAAGGGACCGGGCCCGGCCCAUGGUGUCCGGAGCUCGGCGUGAGCGCGUGACUGAUGGACGCGAUUUGAGUGAGUGCCGGCCUGUCGUCGGGGCACCACGUCCACAUGGCCGGACUGAUGACCGACCGUCGUCGUCACCGCUGAUGGAGCAGGCGUCCCUCGCGUUUCGCUUCGUUCCAACGUACUACGUUACUCCAGACCCAGGAACAACGGCCGCGGUCUCCUACGUUUCUGCCGGCCGGCCUCACGCGCCAGCCAUGCAGGUUCUUCGUUUCUAGUAGCACUAGCUAGUCAAAAGCCCACUGCUGACACGAGACGACACGAGAAGCCGGCCGGCCUUGUUUCACGCGUCCACGCACCGACGAUGAUGGCCCCCUGCUGACGCGCCGAUCCCUAGACGCGCGCGCGCGCGAUUAUACAUGGAUCGGCGUGAGCGAGAGAGGCCGGGCUUCUUCGUUCACCGGCCGGCUCCUCCUCCGGAUCGACGGAGUCCGGACAGAUUAUCAUCAAUCAACACGACAAUCCUAGUAGUAGUACAGGUACUAAACACCAAACAGAUAUCGUGACUGCAUGCUGCGAAGAACGCGUAUGUUAGUGUAGCUAGCUCGAGCAUCACUGCAUCAGAAUAAUAAUCUGUUUUCUGAUCUGCCUUUUUUUCCCUCGUAUUUUCGACAAGAUCUGUAGCUAGCUAGCUUAAACUGCUGUUCUCGGCCGCUAGCCGAUUUCGGCAUAAUUAUUAAUCAAUGGCAUCGAUCCCCAAGUUGGGCCUUGUUGGUUGCGUGGACGUAGCAGUUCCCCUCUGGAGACAGGGAGACCUUUAAUUUUGCUGAAUUCUGUUUGGGUUGGAUCCCGAGGCGAGGAUUGCCGUUGAGACCGGCAAGCGCGGCGUCCCCGUGCGGAUGCAGAUGCACUCGCGUCCCAGUCACAGGGCAGGGCACAGCGUGCCGCCGCCGCCGGCUCCGCCCACGCGCGCGUGGUAGUCACGGCACAUAGUACGCGCUUCUGAAUUGAAACAGCAGGAUGAUCGUAAAGCGGCGGGACACUUAACUCACAUGCGUUCGCAAGGACGCAGGCAGUGCAUGCGGCCCUAGCUGGAAACGCGACGCUCAACCAGACUACAGUGCCUUUGUGCUCUUCAUCCAUCCAGCCACUAUACACACGCUCACACAUCUUCUUCUUCGUCCAGCUACUAUACGAGUGCGCGCACACCCACGCAGGUACAUGGACCGUCCGGCCACACGGAUCCAUGUAUUCAGCGUAGUAUGCGUCACAGCUUUUCCUUCUCGUGGCGGUACAGACAGACAGACUACAGACAAGACAAUCAAGCUAGCCUGAGGUAGCACACGCAUGAAGAGGACAGGAUGACAUUAGCUAUGCGACAUGUACUAGGCUAGCCAUUUUAUUUUAUGUGACACGAAAGUAAACUUUAGUCAGUGAACCAAAUACAUCCCAAUAUUGUAUAUAGCCAUGAAGCCUGUCCCUUCAAUUUGACAAUUGCAUGUUCUAUUUUUUUCCCUUUUUUUGAGAGAGAGUCAAUAAUAUAUAGGGUAUCUAUCUUAAACAGCUGGUCAGCUGCUGUGUGUGUCUGGUACUGGUAGACGGUAGUACUGCUGCUACUUUCUGUCUUGACGGGUCUGGCCGAUUGUGUAAUUCUGCACGCAGUAAAAUAUUCUCCCUGCAAUUAAUUCUGCGCGCGCCCCCAGCACCAGCAGCGAGAUCUUCUGGGGGAUCCGAGCCUUGAUUUCGUAAAGCCUGCGCGCAUGACAGAGCGAGGACUAGGAGUACCCUGGUACUACUGUACGUAGGACUGGGUAUCCAUCGGGCAGCCGUGUCCUAGACUGCCAAUAUACGCCUGUUGCCUGCUACUCUGGAAUUAUACGGCCUGACAAAAUACCAAGCAGUCGUAGUGUCGUACGCGAAUGCAUGACAAGGUCAUCAUCAAGCCCAGCCGGCUAUGUGACAGCACUAUUUCGAGGUACAAAACCGUAGAUACCACUUGCACAUAAAAGCUAUAGUGGCUGUCCCACACCUAUUUGCACUAGCAUUUUCAGUGAUGUCAGUGCUAUGAGACAAUGGAAAUCGGUAUUUUUAUUGUUGGUUGUUUUGGAACCAAACCGCCAGUGAAAACAUCAUAUCCACUAGUGGUUGGUCAAGACAACCACCACUACAAAUAGAAUUCACGGUUUGCUUAAUAAAACCACCGGUGGAAAUACACUAUCUACUGGCGGUUUUCUUUAUUUGACUGUCAGUUGAAGUUUUCCCGCUUUUUUAUAAAUUUUCAAACAAAACUGAAUUUACACACACAUUAUAUAAAUAUAUAUAGUAUAUAGUAUAUGUAUUUAGAGUCAUGUGCUCUGCUUAACUAUAGAAAGCCCCGACCACCCGUCCGGUUGACCAGGCGCACCAUCCGGUCCACCCACUAUAAUGUUUACGCUCAUGUACCAUCGUAUAAAACCAACCGCUCUACAUGGCCUUCCGCGAUGGCUCAGACUAGGUUUUCAGUGGCGGCGGUUGUGCGACACGAGUGAGUGCGGCGAAGCCAGCUCGACCGCGGCGAACAAGCAUCCCCAUAGACGAGAUCCAUGGCGGAUCGCCUCCCCGUCAUCGUUCCAAAGGUGCCUUCCCUUUGUUUCCCUCAUUUUCUUCCCUCCCUAACCUUACCUCCUUUCCCCACACGAACCCUCACCCGCCUCCUCUUCAUCCUCAAAUCCCAGCUCCUGGACCAUGCCUCCUGCCCACCCGCACGCUCUUUCCCUCUAAUCCAUGUUGUCCUCCGUGAUGGGGGCUGCGACUGAUAGGGCCAUUCGCAGGUAGGCCUUCACGCUGACAAACACUGCGGCGUUCAGGAUCCAGCAGCUUCUCAACCUCAUGUAGCUGUUUUGUGGGGGCUCCAGCAGGAUUUGUGAUGCCCUUUGUGACGAUUCUGCGUGACUGCCUGCUCCCCC